UGUUCCUGGGUUGAUGAAAAGCUCUUAUUUUUAUUUGUAUAGUCCCACAUUAAUUAUUGGGAUUUUUCUGUACUUCUAGUAGGUACUGUCACCAAAAAACCCUAGCACCUAAAUCAUCGUGGCAGAAUAAAAAGAACACUUUUCAUCUUGCAGAGAAGGGUGGCUGCUUUCCUCUCUGCUGUCAUCUGGAAACAUGAGAGGUCAGAGGUGCAGGGAUGGAGGAGGUCCCCCAGGCCCCCUAUAAAUAGUCAUUGAAUUGAAAGGUGUUGAAAAGGUAAAGAAACUUACACUUCUCCAAAUGGUGACAAGCCACGCUUCAGUUGCAAUUUUUUAAAAGAAAAAGACCAACACAGGAGUCCAGAUCAUUAGUGCGGGGUGACAGCCAGCACAGCUCCGGGAAGCUUGCUGCCCAAGAGGAGUGACAGCACCCUGCCCGAGGCCGAUGGAGCAGCGUGAGACGAUUUCUUCCUUCCCGUCAUAUGAGGAUGAAUGAGACAAUGAAGCCAGGUGCUGUGAAUAGCUGCCCAACAGAUACCACCCUGCAUCCACCAAACACACCUGCCAGUACUCACCAAUAAGACUGCUACCUGCAGGUUUUAGUGUUGUUACAGCCCCAAUAUAUAUUCAUUCUGUGGUUGCCGUGGACAGAGGAAGAAUGAAAGCAGAGACAAUUCAGAGGCUACUGUAGCGCCCAGAGAAGAAAUGGGAGUGGGGUCUGGACUGAAUGUGAAGUGAUGCUGAUGGAGAGCAGUGGCUGGAUUUGGGGUGUGUAUUAAAAAGAAAAGAACACGGUACUUACUGAAGGUUGUGUUGCGAAGUCUUAGGUUGUGGUAUGAACAACUAAUAAUACCACUCAUUGAGAAAGGAAUGGUUACAAUG